rnacentral:rRNA from 1 species
GACGAACGCUGGCGGCGUGCUUAACACAUGCAAGUCGAACGGAAAGGCCCUGCUUUUGUGGGGUGCUCGAGUGGCGAACGGGUGAGUAACACGUGAGUAACCUGCCCUUGACUUUGGGAUAACUUCAGGAAACUGGGGCUAAUACCGGAUAGGAGCUCCUGCUGCAUGGGGGGGGUUGGAAAGUUUCGGCGGUUGGGGCUGGACUCGCGGCUUAUCAGCUUGUUGGUGGGGUAGUGGCUUACCAAGGGUUUGACGGGUAGCCGGCCUGGGAGGGGGGCCGGCCACAUGGGGACUGAGAUACGGCCCAGUCUCCUACGGGAGGCAGCAGUGGGGAAUAUUGCACAGUGGGCGGAAGCCUGAUGCAGCAACGCCGCGUGCGGGAUGACGGCCUUCGGGUUGUAAACCGCUGUCGCCUGUGACGAAGCGUGAGUGACGGUAAUGGGUAAAGAAGCACCGGCUAACUACGUG